AUAUAAUUGAAACAGAAUUUCUUCCAAAAAAAAUAAAAAUCCUCAUUUUCUUGACAUCUCAUUUGUAUAUAAACCGUUAACUCCUUUGGUACAAAUAACAUUAUUCAAUAGGCCCAAAAUCAAACCCUAAGAUUGGAAUGGGGUCUCAAGGAAUUCAUUCAACUUUAAAUUAAUAGUUUCUUCGUCCCGUGUUAGCUUUAGUAGCUCUUCUGCUGCUCUUUUCCUACACCAGCAUCCUCUUUUGUUUAUAAAAAGGGAACUUCCCAAUUACGUACUUUAGAAGAUCCAUUCGUGCAAUGAACGUGAUGGUCAAGCUUAACCUGUGGUGCGGAGCAAGUCUUUUCCCAUGCAGUUUGUUCACAGUAGGUGAAUUUCAAUUGUAGAGAGAGGGUAGACGGCUUUCCUAGCUACGAAAUUCAGUACGUUAUCCCACGCGCUUCCCAAUAAAUUAAUCCAACUUUGUGCGAUAAAUGCUACCUGAAAAACCAGGCGAGGCAACUCAACCCUCAUAGCUUCAUAAAUGUUCGACUUAUUCGGUAAACAAAACUAGACAAGAAGGGAUAUUUAGUGGAAGCAGAAAAGAAAGAUGUAAAAAUCUUGUAAUUAUAUUGUCC
rnacentral:lncRNA from 1 species